AAUUAUCAACCUUUGCUCUUUGCGAGUGAAGGCUUGGAUGUGAGGGUUUUGCUGGCUUCCUUUAGUGGAUGGUCUGCUCCCUUUAAAUGCAUUAGUGGGAUCCUUUGUGGACCGUCACUAGGUGUGAUAAUUAUCUACGCCUCUUGACCGAAGCAAGCUUUAUGGGAACCUGCUCAUAACCGUCCUUCAAGGACAAUUUUAUUGACU
rnacentral:misc_RNA from 1 species